rnacentral:rRNA from 1 species
AUUGAACGCUGGCGGCAGGCCUAACACAUGCAAGUCGAACGAGUGGCGGACGGGUGAGUAAUGUCUGGGAACCUGCCUGAUGGAGGGGGAUAACUACUGGAAACGGUCGCUAAUACCGCAUACCAUCGGAUGUGCCCAGAUGGGAUUAGCUAGUAGGUGGGGUAACGGCUCACCUAGGCGACGAUCCCUAGCUGGUCUGCGAGGAUGACCAGCCAGCCUGGACCUGAGACACGGUCCAGACUCCUACGGGAGGCAGCAGUGGGGAAUAUUGCACAAUGGGCGCAAUCCUUAUGCAGCCAUGCCGCGUGUAUGAAGAAGGCCUUCGGGUUGUAAAGUACUUUGAGCGGGGAGGCGUUACCCGCAGAAGAAGCACCGGCUAACUCCGUGCCAGCAGCCGCGGUAAUAC